rnacentral:rRNA from 1 species
UUCGGACUGAUUGAGUGGCGCACGGGUGAGUAACACGUAGGUAAUCUACCCUUUGGCGGGGGAUAACGUUCCGAAAGGGACGCUAAUACCGCAUAAGACCACGUGGUCUCCGGACCGUGUGGGAAAAGGUGGCCUCUUCUUGAAAGCUACCACCGGAGGAUGAGCCUGCGUCCCAUCAGCUAGUUGGUAAGGUAAUGGCUUACCAAGGCGAAGACGGGUAGCUGGUUUGAGAGAAUGAUCAGCCACACUGGCACUGGAACACGGGCCAGACUCCUACGGGAGGCAGCAGUGAGGAAUAUUGGGCAAUGGGCGAAAGCCUGACCCAGCCACGCCGCGUGAGUGAUGAAGGCCUUCGGGUCGUAAAGCUCUGUGGAGAGGGACGAAAACCCUGGUUUCAAAUAGGCUCCAGGCUUGACGGUACCUCUUUAGCAAGCACCGGCUAACUCUGUGCCAGCAGCCGCGGUAAUACAGAGGGUGCAAACGUUGCUCGGAUUUACUGGGCGUAAAGCGCGUGUAGGCGGGUUCGCAAGUCGGACGUGA